ACACCAUAAAGCAUAAAAGGUGUCCGCAAGUUGGUUGUAUCUAUCUGCAUAGUUUGAUGUAAGAAUAGAAUGUUCACUUUUGUGUUAUUUAGCGUAGGAGGGUCUCACUCCUUAUUUAGCUAAAGAAUAGGCUUUCAAAACGAGCAAUGAGCAUUGCAGGGGGCCAAUGCGACAUCGAGGAAAGGCCGGUGCACCUCAAUUGCUUGAGGAAUUGACCGGACGACCUCCAGGAAGUUGGAGUCGUGUUCGGGUGACCUCAAUGUCCCCCGGGUCACCACCAUGCUUCAUGGUGAUGCUAGAUCUCGAAUGUCUUCGUUUUGAGCGGAAGAAUGGAUGUCCAUGAGAUUUUCUCAAAAUUUGGACCAUUAUAUCUCUUCCAGGUUGACCAAUUUGGUCAAACCAAAGCCUAUAUGAGUCGGUGUCCCAAAUAUCAUGUAUGGCGACAACAUGGGAUUCGAUAUUCGAAUCGUAGUGACAUACAGUUCACUAGAUUGAUUCAUGAAUUUCUCCAAGAUGCGCUUCAGUUCGCAUUCAUGAGGAGGUAUACACAAAAGAAUUCUUGUUCAUUCUCACAAUGUGUUUUCAAAUGAAAACCAUUAGCAGGAAUGUCUUUAAAACUUAACAUGGUUCCUUAGAAUGUUGUGGAUAGUUCCACUAUCUGCGAAGCACUCAAUGUCUCUAUGAGACAUAACUAUAAGGAGUAGAUAGGCGAGUAAAUAGUUCUACUUGAACCAUUUAGAAGGAUUGAAAGAAGCUACGAAAAGCUGCAAUCCCGAGAGUGCAUAAAAAUUUCCGCGCAGAAUGACCUUUGCGCACUAAAACAGCCAUAACUUCUUCGUUAAAAUAGGUAUGGAUGAACUGUGAAAAGUUCUGAAAACUAGACUCGUAGAGCUUUCCAAUGAUAUAAAGCUCACUGUCUGGUUCGUCCGGAGCUGUUCAAAAAGCUCAAACGAAGUUGACUGUCCAGAAGGGACAGAUUGCUGUUUUUCGCAGAUUUGGCAUGUGCGAAGCUAUGAAGCUUGCAGGUGGCGUGUAGGCUUUUGCCUUAGCCAAAAGUGACAUGUGUAUGAUCAAAACCAAGUCCUUUCGGUCGUUCUAAGGUCGUAAACUCCAUGACUAGUUAGCAAAAGCUCCCUGACAUGAACAUAAACUAACUCAGAGGACCUAGAGGAUCCGAUCAUGAUGAUAAUUUUCC
rnacentral:lncRNA from 1 species